GAUUGUUAUGCAAGUGGCGAUGGU
rnacentral:siRNA from 1 species